GUGCUCCUAUCAAUUUUAGAGAAGUUCUUCUCCAAGUUUCUGAACUUGCCUGAUGUAAAUAGGAGGUUGAGGAAGAUCAUCUCCAUCCUCUCAAGCGACCAGCCUCCCUGCCCUCAACUGUAUCUGUACAGCACAGCUGACAAGGUCAUUCCAGCUAGGUCGGCAGAGUCUUUUAUUCAGGAGCAGAAGAAAUCUGGGAGAAAGGUGAAACCGAAUGCAAUGGUUAAGGACAUAGCUUUCUUGGGGGCAUCGCUCUCUGAUCAUCUCAAACCUGACUUCAAUCCUCUUAUCAUGAAGAAACCCCAAACUGAAACUAAUACAAAAUUGGAUUAGUCCCAUCUUGUAGCCAGCAGGCUAGAGCUACCUGUUUGAGGUUGCAGGGGCCUGCUACGCACAAUUCAAAUGGAGAAUGCUGGUAGAGGCAAUGAUGAUGUUGGCCUGGAAGCAGCAGAAGAUGGACGGGCAGUGUUAUCUCAGGGUCUGCCAAGCAUGACAGCACCGGUGAUGACGGGCGCGACCAUGACUUUGUAUUAUUUGUGGAACCUAAUGUUGU